rnacentral:rRNA from 1 species
GUGGGGAAUCUUGCGCAAUGGGCGAAAGCCUGACGCAGCCAUGCCGCGUGAAUGAUGAAGGUCUUAGGAUUGUAAAAUUCUUUCACCGGGGACGAUAAUGACGGUACCCGGAGAAGAAGCUCCGGCUAACUUCGUGCCAGCAGCCGCGGUAAUACGAAGGGGGCUAGCGUUGCUCGGAAUUACUGGGCGUAAAGGGCGCGUAGGCGGACAGCUUAGUCAGAGGUGAAAGCCCAGGGCUCAACCUUGGAAUUGACUUUGAUACUGGCUGUCUUCGAUUUGUGAGAGGUGAGUGGAACUCCGAUUGUAAAGGUGAAAUUCGUAGAUAUUCGGAAGAACACCAGUGGCGAAGGCGACUCACUGGCCCAAUACUGACGCUGAGGCGCGAAAGCGUGGGGAGCAAACAGGAUUAGAAACCCCAGUAGUCC